GCCGGGGUUGCAGAGCCAGGCCACUGCGGGAGACUCGAGAUCUCCUGGGCGUUGCCCGCGUGGGUUCGAAUCCCACCCCCGGCG
rnacentral:tRNA from 1 species